rnacentral:rRNA from 1 species
AUACGGAGGAUCCGAGCGUUAUCCGGAUUUAUUGGGUUUAAAGGGUGCGCAGGCGGCCAUUUAAGUCAGCGGUUAAAUCGUGGGGCUCAACCCCAUUCUGCCGUUGAUACUGGGUGGCUUGAUUGCGGUCGAGGUUGGCGGAAUUCGUUGUGGAGCGGUGAAAUGCAUAGAUAUGACGAAGAACACCGAUUGCGUAGGAAGCUGACCAGACCGCAAAUGACGCUCAUGCACGAAAGUGCGGGGAUCGAACAGGAUUAGAUACCCUGGUAGUCCGCACAGUAAACGAUGAAUACUUGUUUUCGGCGAUAUAAUGUCGGAGGCAAAGCGAAAGCGAUAAGUAUUCCACCUGGGGAGUACGCCGGCAACGGUGAAACUCAAAUGAAUUGGCGGGG